rnacentral:rRNA from 1 species
CCUACGGGAGGCAGCAGUGGGGAAUAUUGCACAAUGGGCGCAAGCCUGAUGCAGCCAUGCCGCGUGUAUGAAGAAGGCCUUCGGGUUGUAAAGUACUUUCAGCGAGGAGGAAGGCAUUGUGGUCAAUAACCACAGUGAUUGACGUUACUCGCAGAAGAAGCACCGGCUAACUCCGUGCCAGCAGCCGCGGUAAU